rnacentral:rRNA from 1 species
ACUAUAUAGCUACUUGGUCAUUUAGAGGAAGUAAAAGUCGUAACAAGGUUUCCGUAGGUGAACCUGCGGAAGGAUCAUUAGUGAUUGGCUCCGGCCUAUAUCAUGUCCAAUACCUCUGUGAACCGUUGGCCCUCGGGGCCUUUUUUCAAACAUGGUGUAAUGAACGUGAAACAUAAUAACCUAAUAAAACUUUCAACAACGGAUCUCUUGGCUCUCGCAUCGAUGAAGAACGCAGCGAAAUGCGAUAAGUAAUGUGAAUUGCAGAAUUCAGUGAAUCAUCGAAUCUUUGAACGCACCUUGCGCCUUUUGGUAUUCCGAAAGGCAUGCCUGUUUGAGUGUCAUGAAAUAUCAAUCCCUCAGGUUUUUCCUGAUCGAUUGGACUUGGGCGUCUGCCGACCGGCUCGCCUUAAAUGCGUUAGUGGUUCAAGUCACUCGUGUCUGACGUAAUAAGUUUCGUCUCGCAUGGUGGCCUACCCGCUCACAACCCCCAUCUUUACUUCUGACCUCAAAUCAGUA